GAUGAAGAACGUAGCGAAAUGCGAUAAGUAAUGUGAAUUGCAGAAUUCAGUGAAUCAUCGAAUCUUUGAACGCACCUUGCACCCUUUGGCAUUCCGAAGGGUAUGCUCGUUUGAGUGUCAUUGUACUCUCACACUCCCACUCUUUUGGAUUGGGAGCGGUGGACUUGGGUGUUGCUGCUUCACUGUGGCUCGCCUCAAAUGGAGUAGUGCAACUCUCGGUUGGACAUAGUACGGCGUGAUAAGUGUCUUCGCCGGCGCCUCACUAGAGGGUGGCCGAUCGGGAGCUCUGUGCUUCAAACCGUCUUCGGACAAUCUCUGACAACUUGACCUCAAAUCGAGUAGGACUACCCGCUGAACUUAAGCAUAUCAAUAAGCGGAGG
rnacentral:misc_RNA from 1 species